rnacentral:rRNA from 1 species
UACGGAGGGUCCAAGCGUUAUCCGGAAUCAUUGGGUUUAAAGGGUCCGUAGGCGGUCUUAUAAGUCAGUGGUGAAAUCUCCUAGCUCAACUAGGAAACUGCCAUUGAUACUGUAAGACUUGAAUUUUUGUGAAGUAACUAGAAUAUGUAGUGUAGCGGUGAAAUGCUUAGAUAUUACAUGGAAUACCAAUUGCGAAGGCAGGUUACUAACAAACGAUUGACGCUGAUGGACGUAAGCGUGGGGAGCGAACAGG